UACCGUAUAACAAUCGAAACCGCAUGGUUUCGUUUUGAAAGGCGCUUUACGGUGCCGCUGAUGGAUGGACCCGCGGUGCAUUAGCUAGUUGGUGAGGUAACGGCUCACCAAGGCCACGAUGCAUAGCCGACCUGAGAGGGUGAUCGGCCACAUUGGGACUGAGACACGGCCCAAACUCCUACGGGAGGCAGCAGUAGGGAAUCUUCGGCAAUGGACGAAAGUCUGACCGAGCAACGCCGCGUGAGUGAAGAAGGUUUUCGGAUCGUAAAACUCUGUUGUUAGAGAAGAACAAGGGUGAGAGUAACUGUUCACCCCUUGACGGUAUCUAACCAGAAAGCCACGGCUAACUACGUGCCAGCAGCCGCGGUAAUACGUAGGUGGCAAGCGUUGUCCGGAUUUAUUGGGCGUAAAGCGAGCGCAGGCGGGUUUCUUAAGUCUGAUGUGAAAGCCCCCGGCUCAACCGGGGAGGGUCAUUGGAAACUGGGAGACUUGAGUGCAGAAGAGGAGAGUGGAAUUCCAUGUGUAGCGGUGAAAUGCGUAGAUAUAUGGAGGAACACCAGUGGCGAAGGCGGCUCUCUGGUCUGUAACUGACGCUGAGGCUCGAAAGCGUGGGGAGCAAACAGGAUUAGAUACCCUGGUAGUCCACGCCGUAAACGAUGAGUGCUAAGUGUUGGAGGGUUUCCGCCCUUCAGUGCUGCAGCUAACGCAUUAAGCACUCCGCCUGGGGAGUACGACCGCAAGGGUUGAAACUCAAAGGAAUUGACGGGGGCCCGCACAAGCGGUGGAGCAUGUGGGUUUAAUUCGAAGCAACCAGGUGGCNGCAAGAACCUUACCAGGUCUUGACAUCCUUUGACCACUCUAGAGAUAGAGCUUCCCCUUCGGGGGCAAAGUGACAGGUGGUGCAUGGUUGUCGUCAGCUCGUGUCGUGAGAUGUUGGGUUAAGUCCCGCAACGAGCGCAACCCUUAUUGUUAGUUGCCAUCAUUUAGUUGGGCACUCUAGCAAGACUGCCGGUGACAAACCGGAGGAAGGUGGGGAUGACGUCAAAUCAUCAUGCCCCUUAUGACCUGGGCUACACACGUGCUACAAUGGGAAGUACAACGAGUCGCGAAGUCGCGAGGCUAAGCUAAUCUCUUAAAGCUUCUCUCAGUUCGGAUUGUAGGCUGCAACUCGCCUACAUGAAGCCGGAAUCGCUAGUAAUCGCGGAUCAGCACGCCGCGGUGAA
rnacentral:rRNA from 1 species